rnacentral:rRNA from 1 species
UGGGGAAUAUUGCGCAAUGGGCGCAAGCCUGAUCCAGCCAUGCCGCGUGAGUGACGAAGGUCUUCGGAUUGUAAAGCUCUUUUUGGCGGGGACGAUAAUGACGGUACCCGCAGAAUAAGCCCCGGCUAACUUCGUGCCAGCAGCCGCGGUAAUACGAAGGGGGCUAGCGUUGUUCGGAAUUACUGGGCGUAAAGCGCACGUAGGCGGACUGAUAAGUCAGGGGUGAAAUCCCGGGGCUCAACCUCGGAACUGCCUUUGAUACUGUUAGUCUCGAGUCCGGAAGAGGUGAGUGGAAUUCCUAGUGUAGAGGUGAAAUUCGUAGAUAUUAGGGAAGAACACCCGUAGGU